ensembl:snRNA U4 U4 spliceosomal RNA
AGCUUUGCUCAGUGGCAGUAUUGUAGCCAAUGAGGUUUAUCCGAGGCGCGAUUAUUGCUAAUUGAAGUACCCAGAUAAUGGUAUCUGAUGCACAUUUCGAGUUCUUUUACAGAUAUGAAAACCAUGUCCUGGCUAUUGUAAAUAGAG